rnacentral:rRNA from 1 species
GUUGAACGCUGGCGGCAGGCUUAACCCAUGCAAGUCGAGCGAGCGGCGGACGGGUGAGUAAUGUCUGGGAAACUGCCUGCUGGACGGGGCUACCUACUGGAACCGGUAGCUACUACCGCGUACCGUCGGAUGUGCCCAGAUGGGAUUAGCUAGUAGGUGGGGUAAAUGCUCACCUAGGCGACGAUCCCUAGCUGGUCUGAGAGGAUGACCAGCCACACUGGAACUGAGACACGGCCCAGACUCCUACGGGAGGCAGCAGUGGGGAAUACUGAACAGUGGGCGAAAGCCUGAGUCAGCCAUUGCGCGAGGAUGAAGAAGGCCUUCGGGUUGGAAACCACCGGCACCGGAGAGGCGUUACCCGCAUAGGAAGCACCGGCUAACUUCGUGCCAGCAGCCGCGGUAAUAC